rnacentral:lncRNA from 1 species
AUGAGCCUCCGGAAAUGUGGUUGGCAUCCCCAAGUCAGAUCCUCUCUAGGACCUGCCAUUGGUGGGGUUUCUGAGCCCUCAGACCAGCUUGCCCUCAUGGGCCCUCUGCAAACUUCUUCACACUUGAAUACCCAUAAUCUCAGUAGCAGGGCUGUGUCCUGGGAGGGAGUGGAGGACAGGCCACAGGGUGUGGGGGGCAGAAGAAGGAAGAGUGAAAGGGUUUCUUUUCCUUUUCAGGGUGCAGGGCUGGUCUUGGUGGUGGCGCACUUUGCCAUGCAGUCGCCUUCAUUCACACCUGCAUCUGCCCGUCCAUGUUUAUGGAGCACUUACUCUGUGCCAGGCACCACUGUGUGCUGGCGUGACCCCUGUGCUCACGGAGUUUACAUCUGGAUUGUGUCUAUGGAGGAGCGUCCCCUUCUUGUCCUCAGGUUCUAAAUAGAAGCCCUGUGCUGUGCACACUGUGCAUCUCAGGUCUUGGUUUCCAAGGGAAGAAAGCAAUCUCCUUGAGCAAGUACUCCGCCACUGCCUCGGGCCCCACCUGUGCUCAGCCCUUCCUCCACUUCUUGCUACCAGGUGAGUUUUGGUUGCAGAAUUCUUGUCCCUUUCCAAAUUCUUUGGUGGGUGCUGUUAAGUGAUGGCAGAGACAUUAGAGAUGAGAGGUGAUAGAGAAAAUGAGGAUGAUAGCGACGAGGUAAAUAGGGUGGGGAAAAAGAACUACCUGAGAUGCUUCAGGCCUUGUGCCCCUUGCUGUCUUAAUUACGUUGUCUACUGAAAUAGAUGAGCAAUCUGAGGCCCAGAGAAGGGAUGGUGUUUACUUAAGGUCACACAGCUAGGAGGUUCCAGAACUUAGAUACAAAUCCAGGUGUCUCUGACACCAAACUGG